rnacentral:tRNA from 3 species
CGGAGAGUGGCGCAAUUGGCUAGCGCGCAUCGUUUGGGACGAUGAGGCUGCGGGUUCAAGUCCCGCCUCUCCGA